GACGAACGCUGGCGGCGUGCUUAACACAUGCAAGUCGAGCGGUAAGGCCCCUUCGGGGUACGACGAGCGGCGAACGGGUGAGUAACACGUGGGUGACCUGCCCUCAGCUCUGGGAUAAGCCUGGGAAACCGGGUCUAAUACUGGAUAUGACUCCAUGACGCAUGUUGUGGGGUGGAAAGCCUUGUGCGGCUGAGGAUGGGCCCGCGGCCUAUCAGCUUGUUGGUGGGGUGANGGCCUACCAAGGCGACGACGGGUAGCCGGCCUGAGAGGGCGACCGGCCACACUGGGACUGAGACACGGCCCAGACUCCUACGGGAGGCAGCAGUGGGGAAUCUUGCGCAAUGGGCGAAAGCCUGACGCAGCGACGCCGCGUGAGGGAUGACGGCCU
rnacentral:rRNA from 1 species